rnacentral:lncRNA from 1 species
CUGCCCCAGGGGCGGGCAGCGGUGUCCUGGUCUAGACGAGAGGGACAUCGCUACUCAGAGCCAGGCUCAGAAGCUGGGAAGGCGCCCUGCGGCUGAGGUCCCUCGAGUUAGCAGCCGCGGUACCCCCAGUCACACCCGUGAACAAGGCCACCCUAACGGAGGUCCAGAGCAAGCCGCAGCUCUGAAGACAUCCUCCUCUUGCUUGGCCAAGCUCUGGCCUGCGUGGGUCUGAGGACUGAAUGAAUUCUAAAAACAUGAACAUGUGAGUUUUCAUGCCUGCAGUCUGCUUCCACAACUGGAGAGUCAAACACAAUUCUGUGGAGAAUCUUCAAGAGAAAGGCCUUCAAGAGUCUGUCGAGAUGACUCAGAAACUAAGAGCACCCCUGGCUCCUGUAAGUUCAGUUCCUGGCACCCACACAGUGCUUCAGCAUCCGUCCCUCCAGUUCGAGGAGCUCCAGUGACCUCUUCCACCUCCAGCAGUACCAGGCAGGCAUGCUCGGCACAGACACACUUAACACGUGAAAUAAAAGUUCUUAGCACAGGAGAAAGAGAAAAGACUUCAGGCCUUCCCAUAGGGGGCUUCUUGGGGGCUAGUUUGGGAAGAAAUGGCCAGUCAGUAACUGGAAGUUGAGUUUGUAUUGUGAAUCUUCAAGAAGUACACAAGGAUAAUUGAAAUAGAUUGCUGUCAAAAAUGGGAAGAAGUGUCUUGCCAUAUAUCCAAAAACCACAAAUUGUGGUGACUCUUUAAAGUUAUCUCACAAAUAUUGAAAGUGGAAAAAAAUAUUUAUCUUUGAAAUCCCGAGCCAAAUGUCCAGACAGGACUCCUCUGAGAGCUUGUGUAAGGAGCCUCGGUGGGGAAAAGGUCUCUGUAACUGAAGAAGGAGGGAGAGAAAAAGAAUAAGGAGUAUUGUCAUCCCAUACACCACUGUGCUGAGAACCGUCGUCAGGCUUGCUCCUGAUGGAACAGAACUGGCGCCUCCAUCAUUCUCUGCUGAGACAACUUGCCAAAAUGUCCGUUCAAAGACUCUUUAGUUUCCUCUGACUGUAACAAUAAAGACGUUUUUAAAUGGAGGUCGCCAUUAGUCACUUGGAGUCUUCAGAGAGACCACACAGAGGAAUCCUGUGACUGGUGAUUCCGAGGGGAUGCUUAUCAUCAACCCAGAUGGUCAUCUCUUCAAGAUAAUCCCCACGUCAGAACAACUAUACCCUCGUGAUCGGUGUGGUGAGGACUUCAUUCAGAACUCAGAACUAAUGUGUCAUCAGAGAGACCACCUAAAAGAAAAAGCCUGCAGGCGAGAGCAUCGUGGGAGGGGCUUCAGCUGCUCUGAGCUUUGUGGGCGGGGCUUCACAAAGUCUGUUUCCGCAUCAAGCAGUCCACAUGGAUGAGAAACCGUACAAAUGUGACAAGUGCGGGAAGGGCUUCACCAGGAGCUCAAGUCUGCUUGUCCAUCAUUCAGUCCAUACAGGUGAGAAACCUUUCAAGUGUGACAGGUGUGGGAAGGGCUUCAGUCAGAGCUCAAAGCUGCACAUCCA